rnacentral:rRNA from 1 species
UACAGAGGGUGCAAGCGUUAAUCGGAAUUACUGGGCGUAAAGGGCGCGUAGGUUGUUAUCAAAGUCAGAUGUGAAAUGUUUGGGCUUAACCUAGACAUGCCAUCUGAGACUUGAAGACUAGAGUGCAGUAGAGGGAAGAGGAAUUUCCGGUGUAGCGGUGAAAUGCGUAGAUAUCGGAAGGAACAUCAGUGGCGAAGGCGUCUUCCUGGACUGACACUGACACUGAGGCGCGAAAGCGUGGGUAGCGAACAGG